AGCGAACGCUGGCGGCGUGCCUAACACAUGCAAGUCGAACGUGAAAGGGAGCAAUCCCACGUAAAGUGGCGUACGGGUGAGUAACACGUAGGUAAUCUACCCCAGAAUCUGGAAUAACCAGCCGAAAGGCUGGCUAAUACUGGAUAGAGCGACGGAAUCCGUAAUUGGGUUUUUCGGGAAAGGGAGCCUGUAAAAAGGCCUUCGUUCUGGGAUGAGCCUGCGUCCCAUCAGCUAGUUGGUGAGGUAAAAGCUUACCAAGGCAAUGACGGGUAGCUGGUCUGAGAGGACGAUCAGCCACACUGGAACUGAAACACGGUCCAGACUCCUACGGGAGGCAGCAGUGGGGAAUCUUGCGCAAUGGACGAAAGUCUGACGCAGCAACGCCGCGUGAGUGAAGAAGGCCUUCGGGUUGUAAAGCUCUGUCGAGUGGGACGAAAAUGCUUGGAGUUCACAGCUCCAGGAACUGACGGUACCACUAAAGGAAGCACCGGCUAACUCCGUG
rnacentral:rRNA from 1 species